rnacentral:rRNA from 1 species
GACGAACGCUGGCGGCGUGCUUAACACAUGCAAGUCGAACGGAAAGGCCCUGCUUUUGUGGGGUGCUCGAGUGGCGAACGGGUGUGUAACACGUGAGUAACCUGCCCUUGACUUUGGGAUAACUUCAGGAAACUGGGGCUAAUACCGGAUAGGAGCUCCUGCUGCAUGGUGGGGGUUGGAAAGUUUCGGCGGUUGGGGAUGGACUCGCGGCUUAUCAGCUUGUUGGUGGGGUAGUGGCUUACCAAGGCUUUGACGGGUAGCCGGCCUGAGAGGGUGACCGGCCACAUUGGGACUGAGGUACGGCCCAGACUCCUACGGGAGGCAGCAGUGGGGAAUAUUGCACAAUGGGCGGAAGCCUGAUGCAGCAACGCCGCGUGCGGGAUGACGGCCUUCGGGUUGUAAACCGCUUUCGCCUGUGACGAAGCGUGAGUGACGGUAAUGGGUAAAGAAGCACCGGCUAACUACGUG